CCUACGGGAGGCAGCAGUAGGGAAUAUUGCUCAAUGGGCGAAAGCCUGAACCAGCAACGCAGCGUGAAGGAUGAAGGUUUUCGGAUUGUAAACCUCUUUUGUUAGAGAAGAUAAUGAAGGUAUGUAACCAAUAUUCUCCGUACAAUGUCGUGCCAGCAGCCCCGGUAAUACGGAGGGUGCAAGCGUUACCCGGAAUCACUGGGCGUAAAGCGGGCGUAGGCGGGUUAGCAAGUCAGAUGUGAAAUCCUUCGGCUUAACCGUAGAACUGCAUUUGAAACUGUUAGUCUUGAGUAUAGGAGAGGUAGGUGGAAUUCGUGGUGUAGCGGUGAAAUGCGUAGAGAUAAAGAGGAAUACUGAUUGCGAAGGCGGCCUGCUAGAAUGUAACUGACGCUGAUGCUCGAAAGCGUGGGGAGCAAACAGGAUUAGAUACCCGAGUAGUC
rnacentral:rRNA from 1 species